rnacentral:rRNA from 1 species
AACGCUAGCUACAGGCUUAACACAUGCAAGUCGAGGGGCAGCAUGAACAAAGCUUGCUUUGUUUGAUGGCAACCGGCGCACGGGUGCGUAACACGUAUCCAAUCUGCCCGCGGCUCGGGGAUAGCCCAUCGAAAGAUGGAUUAAUACCCGAUGGUGUGGUUUCUCCGCAUGGAGUUUCCACUAAAGGUUUUCCGGCCGCGGAUGGAGGAUGCGUAUGAUUAGGUAGUAGGCGGGGUAACCGCCCACCUACCUUCGAUCAUUAGGGGUUCUGAGAGGAAGGUCCCCCACACUGGAACUGAGACACGGUCCAGACUCCUACGGGAGGCAGCAGUGAGGAAUAUUGGUCAAUGGGCGAGAGCCUGAACCAGCCCAAGUAGCGUGAAAGGAAGACUGCCCUAUGGGUUGUAAACUUCUUUUGUUCGGGAAUAAAGUGCAGUAUGUAUACUGUUUUGUAUGUACCGUUCGAAUAAGCAUCGGCUAAUUCCGUGCCAGCAGCCGCGGUAAUACGGAAGAUGCGAGCGUUAUCCGGAUUUAUUGGGUUUAAAGGGAGCGUAGGCGGGCUGUUAAGUCAGCGGUUAAAUGUCAUGGCCCAACCUUGGCAUGCCGUUGAAACUGGCGGUCUUGAAUACACACAAGGGAGAUGGAAUUCGUCGUGUAGCGGGAAAUGCUUAGAUAUCACGAAGAACUCCGAUUG